UACGAAGGGGGCAAGCGUUGUUCGGAAUUACUGGGCGUAAAGGGCGCGUAGGCGGCUUAUCAAGUCAGGCGUGAAAUUCCCGGGCUCAACCUGGGGGCUGCGCUUGAUACUGAUUGGCUUGAAUGCGGGAGAGGAUAGUGGAAUUCCCAGUGUAGAGGUGAAAUUCGUAGAUAUUGGGAAGAACACCGGUGGCGAAGGCGGCAUCCUGGACCGGUAUUGACGCUGAGGCGCGAAAGCCAGGGGAGCAAACGGG
rnacentral:rRNA from 1 species